rnacentral:rRNA from 1 species
GACGAACCGUGCAAACGUUGUUCGGAAUCACUGGGCGUAAAGCGCACGUAGGCGGAUUGUUAAGUCAGGGGUGAAAUCCUGGAGCUCAACUCCAGAACUGCCUUUGAUACUGGCGAUCUCGAGUCCGGGAGAGGUGAGUGGAAUUCCGAGUGUAGAGGUGAAAUUCGUAGAUAUUCGGAAGAACACCAGUGGCGAAGGCGGCUCACUGGACUGGUAUUGACGCUGAGGUGCGAAAGCGUGGGGAGCAAACAGG